rnacentral:rRNA from 1 species
GGCUCACGCCGGUCUAAACUCAGAUCAUGUAAAAUUUUAAAGGUCGAACAGACCCAAUUAUCUAGCUUCUACACCAGUAAUAAAUUUUAAUCCAACAUCGAGGUCGCAAUCUUUUUUUCCGAUAAGAACUCUUAAAAAAAUUACGCUGUUAUCCCUAAGGUAAUUCAAUCUUAUAAUCUAAACUCUAGGAUCAUUUAUCCAUAUAUUAAUGUAAUAUACUAAAAAAAGUUAUUUUAAUUUUUCUAUCACCCCAACAAAAUACUUAUAAAAAUUUAAAUCUUUUUCUCACCUAACAAUUUAAUUUUUUAUAAAUAUAAAACUCUAUAGGGUCUUCUCGUCUUCUAUAUAAAUUUAAGCUUUUUAACUUAAAAAUAAAAUUAUAAUAAAUUUUUUUAGAGACAGAAAUUUUUUCAUCAAACCUUUCAUUCCAGUUUCCAAUUAAAAAACUAAUGAUUAUGCUACCUUUGCACAGUCAAAAUACUGCGGCCAUUAAAAAACACUCAUUGGGCAGGCCAGACCUGAGAUUAUUAUCAACAAGCCAUGUUUUUAAUAAAC